rnacentral:rRNA from 1 species
CCUACGGGAGGCAGCAGUGGGGAAUUUUGGACAAUGGGGGCAACCCUGAUCCAGCCAUGCCGCGUGCGGGAAGAAGGCCUUCGGGUUGUAAACCGCUUUUGUCAGGGAAGAAAUCCUUUGAACUAAUACUUCGGAGGGAUGACGGUACCUGAAGAAUAAGCACCGGCUAACUACGUGCCAGCAGCCGCGGUAAUACGUAGGGUGCAAGCGUUAAUCGGAAUUACUGGGCGUAAAGCGUGCGCAGGCGGUUAUGCAAGACAGAUGUGAAAUCCCCGGGCUCAACCUGGGAACUGCAUUUGUGACUGCAUAGCUAGAGUACGGUAGAGGGGGAUGGAAUUCCACGUGUAGCAGUGAAAUGCGUAGAUAUGUGGAGGAACACCGAUGGCGAAGGCAAUCCCCUGGACCUGUACUGACGCUCAUGCACGAAAGCGUGGGGAGCAAACAGGAUUAGAUACCCUGGUAGUCCACGCCCUAAACGAUGUCAACUGGUUGUUGGGAGGGUUUCUUCUCAGUAACGUAGCUAACGCGUGAAGUUGACCGCCUGGGGAGUACGGCCGCAAGGUUGAAACUCAAAUGAAUUGACGGCUGAGACGNGCGAGACGACGACGAGGAGAGG